rnacentral:lncRNA from 1 species
CCACAUUUAAUUAUCUGAUUGCAUAUAUUUACAAAAUAUAUACUUUAUACAAAUUAAAAGUAAGUAACAAUGCAAAUUAUUCAUAUAUUGCUUUUUAUGAUGUAUAAAAAUCCUGCAUUCAUCAGAAUAACAAGAAUAGUUGGGUUUAAAUUUAUGGACAUGAAUUAAAAAGGCAUGCAUUAUGGAUUUAUCAUUGUUGAAGACCAUACGGUAAUGCCUAAUAUUGCUUGUAUCGACUUUAUUUAAACUCUGUUUUAUAGUUGUUGUUGAAAAAGGCGAGAAUUUUUGUUGUUGAAAAAGGCGAGAAUUUCAUACUUUAUUCUUACUUAAUUUUAGUUUAAAAGAAGUUACCAGUAUAUAUUAUGUUUACAUUAUUCAAGCAACUACCAUUGGUUUUUUUGAAAACCAUGGGCAUUGACAAUGAUUGAUAAGUGUCUGUUUCUAUGUAUGCUUCGUUAGUUUUUUUUAUUGCAUUUCAAUGGGUCCGUUG